rnacentral:piRNA from 1 species
UGGGUAUUAAGAUCACAAGUGGGUCAAG